GAUGAACGCUAGCGACAGGCUUAACACAUGCAAGUCGAGGGGCAGCGGGGAGGUAGCAAUACUUCCGCCGGCGACCGGCGCACGGGUGAGUAACACGUAUGGAACCUGCCCGUAGCAGGGGGAUAAGCGGAAGAAAUUCCGUCUAAUACCGCGUAAUAACUCCGAGAGGCAUCUCAUGGAGUUUAAAGGGUAACACCGGCUGCGGAUGGCCAUGCGGCGCAUUAGCUAGUUGGCGGGGUAACGGCCCACCAAGGCGACGAUGCGUAGGGGUUCUGAGAGGAAGGUCCCCCACACUGGUACUGAGACACGGACCAGACUCCUACGGGAGGCAGCAGUGAGGAAUAUUGGUCAAUGGGCGCGAGCCUGAACCAGCCAAGUCGCGUGAGGGAAGACGGUCCUAUGGAUUGUAAACCUCUUUUGUCGGGGAGCAAAAGACGCCACGUGUGGCGUUCCGAGAGUACCCGAAGAAAAAGCAUCGGCUAACUCCGUGCCAGCAGCCGCGGUAAUACGGAGGAUGCGAGCGUUAUCCGGAUUUAUUGGGUUUAAAGGGUGCGCAGGCGGAAGAUCAAGUCAGCGGUAAAAUUGAGAGGCUCAACCUCUUCGAGCCGUUGAAACUGGUUUUCUUGAGUGAGCGAGAAGUAUGCGGAAUGCGUGGUGUAGCGGUGAAAUGCAUAGAUAUCACGCAGAACCCCGAUUGCGAAGGCAGCAUACCGGCGCCCGACUGACGCUGAGGCACGAAAGUGCGGGGAUCAAACAGGAUUAGAUACCCUGGUAGUCCGCACAGUAAACGAUGAAUGCUAGCUGUCCGGGGGGAUUGACCCCUGGGUGGCACAGCGAAAGCGUUAAGCAUUCCACCUGGGGAGUACGCCGGCAACGGUGAAACUCAAAGGAAUUGACGGGGGCCCGCACAAGCGGAGGAACAUGUGGUUUAAUUCGAUGAUACGCGAGGAACCUUACCCGGGCUCAAACGCCGAAGGGACAUUCCCCGAAAGGGGAUUGGCCAGCAAUGGUCUUCGGCGAGGUGCUGCAUGGUUGUCGUCAGCUCGUGCCGUGAGGUGUCGGCUUAAGUGCCAUAACGAGCGCAACCCCCACCGACAGUUGCUAACUGGUCAAGCAGAGGACUCUGUCGGGACUGCCGGCGCAAGCUGCGAGGAAGGCGGGGAUGACGUCAAAUCAGCACGGCCCUUACGUCCGGGGCGACACACGUGUUACAAUGGCAGGUACAGCGGGAUGCCAUGGGGCGACCCAGAGCGGAACCCGAAAACCUGUCUCAGUUCGGAUUGGAGUCUGCAACCCGACUCCAUGAAGCUGGAUUCGCUAGUAAUCGCGCAUCAGCCACGGCGCGGUGAAUACGUUCCCGGGCCUUGUACACACCGCCCGUCAAGCCAUGGGAGCCGGGGGUGCCUGAAGGCCGUGACCGCGAGGAGCGGCCUAGGGUAAAACUGGUGACUGGGGCU
rnacentral:rRNA from 1 species